GGGCAUUGGAGGGACAAUUUGGAAGGG
rnacentral:piRNA from 1 species